rnacentral:rRNA from 1 species
CCUACGGGAGGCAGCAGUGAGGAAUAUUGGUCAAUGGGCGCGAGCCUGAACCAGCCAAGUCGCGUGCAGGAAGACGGUCCUAUGGAUUGUAAACUUCUUUUAUCCGGGGAUAAACUGAGUCACGUGUGGCUUUUUGAAGGUACCCGAUGAAUAAGCAUCGGCUAAUUCCGUGCCAGCAGCCGCGGUAAUACGGAGGAUGCGAGCGUUAUCCGGAUUUAUUGGGUUUAAAGGGAGCGCAGGCGGCCUGUUAAGCCAGCGGUAAAAUUCCGGGGCUCAACCCGGGACUGCCGCUGAAACUGGGGGCCUUGAGUGCGCGGGAAGUAGGCGGAAUGCGUGGUGUAGCGGUGAAAUGCUUAGAUAUCACGCAGAACUCCGAUUGCGAAGGCAGCAUACCGGCGCGUUACUGACGCUGAGGCACGAAGGCGUGGGUAUCGAACAGGAUUAGAUACCCGAGUAGUC